GACGAACGCUGGCGGCGUGCUUAACACAUGCAAGUCGAACGGAAAGGCCCUGCUUUUGUGGGGUGCUCGAGUGGCGAACGGGUGAGUAACACGUGAGUAACCUGCCCUUGACUUUGGGAUAACUUCAGGAAACUGGGGCUAAUACCGGAUAGGAGCUCCUGCUGCAUGGUGGGGGUUGGAUAGUUUCGGCUGUUGGGGAUGGACUCGCGGCUUAUCAGCUUGUUGGUGGGGUAGUGGCUUACCAAGGCUUUGACGGGUAGCCGGCCUGAGGGGGUGACCGGCCACAUUGGGACUGAGAUACGGCCCAGACUCCUACGGGAGGCAGCAGUGGAGAAUAUUGCACAAUUGGCGGAAGCCUGAUGCAGCAACGCCGCGUGCGGGAUGACGGCCUUCGGGUUGUAAACCGCUUUCGCCUGUGACGAAGCGUGAGUGACGGUAAUGGGUAAAGAAGCACCGGCUAACUACGUG
rnacentral:rRNA from 1 species